CAUUUUUAAUCAUGACUAACAUUCCUCUUUCCCCUUCAACUAAGCGUAAAGCUUGUGCUAAGAGUGGGUACGACAAUAGUGCAACGGGUGGUGUUUGAACCGUCAACCUUUUGGAUUUCGGUCCGCUCCUAUAACCGUUGAGCUAUUGAGGCCUAUAAAGUUGAAAU